UAAUGUGUUUUAAUCCGCUCAGUGUGUUUGACAGGUUUAAUAUGUUUUAACCCGUUUUAAUGGGUUGUGACAGAAAAAGCACCGGCUAAUGGUACCACGGAGUUACUAGUGCCAACGGCAGCUGGGUGCAAUCACCGUUCUGCAUGGCAAAACGGGGUUCAGGAAGUUCCUGCGAGAUACUAGCGGUUCUAGGAGCGACAAAGUGACAGCACUGAGAACGUAAGGACCCCGCGAACGGGAAACGUCACGUUGGGAGCGGCAACUGAGAAAACGCCCAGUGGGCGCUGCUAGCAAACUUGCUGAUACAAAACCGCCAGCUCCGCAUGGGAAGCGGAGCCGCCAGACAGAACCCGGAGCCUAACACCAGCGAGGCUAAGACCGAGCUCGGCUCCCCGGCUCCUGAGAGAAUGAAAGUCAAGAAGCACGAAGCUGAGACGCUCAAAAUUAGUAGGAAAAACAAAAACAAAAACGUAACAUUUAAAUAAAAAUAAAAAUUUAAAAUAAUGAAAGUCUGAAAUGCAAGUAAAAACGCAAAACACAUCGGUAACACUGUCCUCAGAGCAAAAUACACAAAAAUAAUGUGCAUUUAUUAGCGAAAAUUACAGAGAGCGAACCGUACAAAGAAGAAAUUACAAAUAUGGCUAAACGAUGCAAUGCCUACCAUUAGAAUGUUUCUAUCACAUCUAAAGCCCUGCAGGUUGCUCCUGUCAUAAUUUCCUAUGACAAACAAAAAUAGCCACGGUUAAACGUGUUUAGGUGCGACUAAAAAAUCGUAGUAACUGGUAUAUGCCGAUUCGGUCCACAGGAGGAAAAAGUCGCGAUGGGCGGGACUUGCUAUUGUCAAAGGGAGCUCGGUAAAACCGAGAAAUCGCGUUCGCCGGCCUUCCUGACUUCCCUGGGAGUUCUGAAGACACUAGACCACAAGCCUAGCUAAGACGGGACUCGCUAUUGCGAAACCAAACUUGGCAUAAGAGCUCCCAACACCGCUAAACUGACCAUCACUAAACCUUUACAAAACGAAACAAAACAAAACAAAAAAACGCAUUCGCUGGUACCCAGAUUUCCACAGGAGUUAAACGUCUCCUGCGCAGCUAAAGCAAGGCUCACUAGUAGGAAACCGGAACUUGCUAGGACUAAGAAACUUGAGGCUGGGUUGACCCCACGGCUGUUACGAUUAGAAAUCCGAGGCUACCGGAGACCCGGAGCUGCUGACAAAUGAGUCACAGAGUAACUUCGCCUUCCUAUGGCAAAACGGUGACUUCCUACGGCCCAGAUAUCGCAGCCAGGGCUAGACCGGUGUUUGUCUUAAGUCAGGACUUGCUUGGGCUGAGAAAUCACAUUUUGGCCGUUCCCCUACUUGGACCGGGGGUAGAAAUCCUGGGCACCGCGAAAUGGAAACUUGCUAGGACCCAGAAGCCAAGGUCGCGGGAAACCGCGGGGUCCUGCGACAGAGACGCGCAGCGGCGCCGCCCCAGGACUGCGUUCUGGCGGCCGAGCCGGAACCCGUGCGGCGGCCCUGGGAAGAGACUGUGCCCGUGCAGCUCCCCUGUCACCGGCUCCGAGGAGCCUUGGGCUCCGCCCGCCCAGCCCUGCAGCACCCGUCCGUCCCGCAACGCCAGACUCAGCGCAACUGGGGCACCGGCCACUUCCAAUCUCUCAGAUCCGUGGCCUGAGGGCUGCCGCCACCGAGAAACGGAGGCACAGAGCUGCGAACAAGAGACCACCGCUCGGUGAAAUGGCGGUGCCAGGAGCCUGGGAGGGAAUGCAGCCAGCGACGUUGUCAAGGACAACAUUCGUUUUGGCGCAACCAACGGUGCUGUCACCAAGGAACCGUCGACUCCGAGAAAAAAAGAGAAGUUCGGCCACCGAGAAACUCCGUGCAGCAAGUGCUGUGACAGCAAAACCGCCGGCUCCGCGCCGGUGGCGAAAGAGUCGACGGAAAGGCCGGGUGCUGCCACCGCGACGCCGGCACCAGAGGGCCUCGGAUGGAGAAAGCUCCGCACCGAGACAAGGAAACUGUGUACGGCACAGCUAGCGGUUGACACAAACAGAAAAGUGUCUGGUCUGCUAAGAACUCUACAAUCAUAAAAUAGAUUUCUCAAAGUUAAAACAGAUACAAGUGAAAUAUUUAAUAAAAUAAAUAUAAGUGUAUAAAAGACAAGGAAACUGAAAGUAAUAAGCCACACGAAACAAGAAAGAAACAUCAGGAAAAAGGA